AUUUCCCACAGGGGUUCUCCUCCUAGCUCUACAUGGGCACCAAUCUGCCUGUAUCUCCUUGGGAACUCUCUAGGGCUCCCAUUUGCUUGUGACCCUUCACAUUCUGAUGGGCACUCUUGACUUCUUAUCUCCCCUGACUUUUUAUCUGGCCCACUUUAGUCUCCCUCAUUAAAAAAAAAUUAAUCAAGAAAUGCCCCUCGCCAAAAAGCAGGCACCCCAAUUCCAAUGCCUGGUGGGACAAGGCAGGUCAUGAAAUGGGUGUCAGAGGCGGCCAAAAGAACAUGUCAGACGUCCUGGAGUUAGAGUUACAAUCCUGCGGGGAAUGCUGGGAGCUGAAUGCUGCUCUUCUCACAGAAUAAUAAGUAAUCUUACCUGCUGAGCCUCUCUCCAGCCCCUCAUUUACCAAUUAACCACAAGGAGACAAGCUAGAACCCUCAUCGAAGAGGAGAGGACAGACAUCCCUUAGUUAGGGGAUGGAGCUGUUUGUACCAGUCCCUCAUCACAAGCCCUGUCAACCUAGCUCGGCUGAGGAGCAGUCUACUCCCAGCUGGCCUGCACUCUGGAGGAGGGGUCAGUGUCUAGGAGACCAAGAUGGCCGAGAAGGCAUCUUACACUAAAAAGCAAAUAGAUCUGAGACUAAAUGGGCCAUGUGAUCUAGAUAUGUGAUGUUGGAUCCUACACUAAGAAAAGAGACAGAGCCUAGAUUCUGGGCAGCCUUGCAGAGCCCCUCGGGCCCAAUGGGGCCUUGUUUUGUGCUUUCCCCAACCCCACAGCCUGCCUUGUUUAUUUGUUCAGCAGGUUUAUUUCAGCCAUGGCACAGCCUGUUCCAACUCUGGAACAUUUAUGAGAUGAGCCAAUUUUUAAAAAUCAUACAAAAUAAAUGAUUUCUCUUGGAGCUAAAGGGUGGGGCUGCCAGGGUGGGAGACAGGUUUCUGGCUGGCUCUGGGCAGUUUUUGGUUUAUCCUUCAAUAUAUUCUUUCCCUCUCUUGCCCAUGGGAACCAAAGGGGCUGCCAUGGGAUUUCCUGCCUCUAUUUCUCCAGACUAUGAUGUGGAAAGAUUGGGACAUUCAACCGUAAGAUUUCCGGUUCUCAUCUCCACCCUCGUUAGUUCCACUCCAGAGCCUGGCUCUAAACCACUGCAUUCAAGCCACAGCCCCAUCUAACUGGUCAGUCUCGGGAUGCAGAUGUCGGAAUGCGACCUGGGCAUCCCACUCUCUCUGUAGCAGCUUUCUCUUCCUCUCUGCUUAUGAAUUCUGGCUUUAUCCUUCAAAGUCCAGCUGUCACCUCUAAAUCCAACUGUCUUCCUUGUAGUUGGCCGGCUAUUAAAAAUAUUUCUUUUCAAAGUCCAACCAGGAUUAACAGGACAGUUAAAAAUGUCAAGUUUCUUUUUUUCUGACUAGGAUAUUAACCCAGCAUAGUGAUGUUAGGUAUCUCAGUUGAUCUGAAAUGAUUAUUUGUAGCUAUGAGGGUAUUUUAUCACCAAAAGACUAGAAAUUAAAGAUUGAUACGUUCAAUUUGGGGACCAAAAAAAAAUCCUUUAUUCAAACCUUAGUUUAAGCAGGUUUAACUGUAAUCCUAGCACUCCAGACUGAAGGAGGAAAACUGAGGGUUCAAGGCUAGCCUGAGCUACAUAGCAAGACUGUCUUUAAAAAAAAAAAAAAAAACAACUAAAAAUCACAGCCAUGCAUCUCAACCAACUGAACACAUUGUUAAGUAUUCAAAGGAUGGAUAAGAGGAGUCCUUGUGGUGAAGGGACACUGAGAGGUCCUACCCGGCCUUUUGACACAUGCCUGACUUGUUUCCCUAAAAGACCAGGUCCACAGGAGGCAACCUCAAGGAUAGAUGCUUGAGGUCAGUGACGCUCUCCAGCUCCCGAGAUUACUGCACCCUCUGCCAAUCCAGGCCAGUAAUCCCAUAACAAUCAAUUUAGGAGCUGUCCCAGCCCCAGGCCCUGGAUGCCUCAAUGAUGGCAUGUCCUCACUCAGGGAGUGCGGUGGCUGAUGAGAACAUGGGGCCAUGGCAGUGUGUCCUGGACUCCAGUGCCCACACCAGCACUCUCUGGGGCAGCUUGGGACAGCUCCCCCAGAAGCCUGGCCAGCUGUGGGAGGUACUGUUCUUCUUUUCCAAGAUUAGCUCAGACUUCAAACACCAACCCUGGGCCUGCUCCCUGCCAAUGAAAACAGUAUGUCAGGAGCCUCUUUAGGUAUCUGGAGGACAGCUCCCUCGGCUCCGCCCUUCCUCAUAUGAGGUCAUUGAAUUGGGAUGACAGAGCAAACAGUGACAUGCGCUAGGACUUGUUCCCAGAAUGAUUGCAGGGAUUCUCCAGGCCUUCUGUCCUCCCCACUUCAGAAUGUGUGGGCAGUAAGCUCAACUGUACUUAGUAAUUGGGUUUCUCGGCAAAGAGAAGGUAGGGCCUGGAUAGACAGACACUAGCACAACCAAUUCCUUCGAAGCCUCAACACACUUUCGCACCAUUCUAAUGUGACUUAAGGCGGGGAGGAAUUCCAUACCCCACUCUACAGAGGCGGAGGAGAAGGUGAACAGUUCAGCGUUCCGUUGCUUAGGCAGACUCAGGCUUGCAAUUAUUUUGUCAAUAGUUUUGUUACAUCUUCCUGCUUUACCAGAGUUUCUUAAAACUUGACUUUGGGAACCUUAAACUUCCUACUCUUUGCCUUGCUGUCUACCAACAACAGUUUUGAGCCACGGUCUCACAUAUACUAGGCUGGCCACAGACUCCCUAUUAACCAAGAAUCCUCCUGUAUCUAUGUCCUGGGUACUGCGAUUAGGUGUGUGCUACAAUGUUCCCAGGGCUUUGUGUGCACCUGGCUGGCACCUGGCUGUCACCACCUGAGCAAGCUAUAGUUUCCAGCCCUGCUCUUAACUGGACCCACACUGAAAGUUAACUUUGGGAGCAGGGGAUGGGAAUGGCUCAGCAUGGAAGAGGGCUUGCUCGAUAAGCAUGAGGACCCAGGUUUGAACCCCUAGAUGGACACAGCUCCAUGUGCCUGUAUUUCCAGCAUUGGGAGGGGCGGGGAAUUGGGGCAGGAACGAACAGAUCUAGAGAGCUCAAUGGCCAGUCAGCUUGCCCAAAACAGGGUUUCUGGUUUAGCGAGGCAAACUAGGUGUGUCUUCAAAAGUCACUAGUUUCCAAUCUGUUUCCUUCAACAUCAAUGACAGCCAUGCCCUUUUUGCCACUCAAGUACGACAGAGGACAGAUCUGGGGAAGGAGAGGUGUGAGAAUCCUCUGUAAACCAUAAAGUUGUAAGAGCACUAUGGGAUGGCCCAAAUCUCCCACUGACUGUUCUCCCUGUGACUGGCGAAUGACUCUCAAGGAGAAAACAAGGGCAGAAACGAUGGGUUGGAAAGAGAUUUGGGGAGCAGCCUCUGGUUGGAGAGGGAUUUGGGGCACAGCUGUUGGACCUUGGCUAAGUCCCCGGGCUAGCGCGCUGCUUCAGGUGUCAGGUUUGGAAAGACACUGCUGCGCUGAAACAACUUGCUUCCCUCAACUUCCUUCAGAAGACUGGCUCUCUUUGAUCCUUUUUUUCUGACUUGGAGCCUUUUCCUCAGACUUUGCAAGUUAGCUGAAUAGUCGUGGUUCUCUACUGCCCUCGUGUGGUUGCUCCCUAACAUUGCUGCAUGGGCUUCGGAAGGGAUCUGAGGGACAAAAGCCAACCUGACCAAGGAAAGCAAAGCCAAGCUUCCAAAUCAGCACUGUCCAGGGCCAGCAGAAGACUUCUACCCCAAUUAAAGUCAGCAUCUUGAAGCCGGUGCUCCUCCAUGGGAGGGGGCGAAGCUACUGUAGUGGGGAAUGCUGACAACAGAGAGGCCACAUGUGUGAAGACAGGGACAGAGGAAACUGGACUACAGGCUGGCUGUUCAACUUCUCUGUGAACUGAAGACUGUUUUAAAGGGACACUAUUUUUAAAAUGACACUUCGAAGAAAAUAAAAACAAUUUUACC
rnacentral:lncRNA from 1 species